UAUUAUGAUCUCUAUUAUCUUUUCAUUUCGACCCCAGCACCACUGAGGAUAGUCUCAUUACUCCAGUGUGCGAGUGUCGCAGCGAUGAAAUUCAUUCACCACUGAGGAUAGUCUCAUUACUCCAGUGUGCGAGUGUCGCAGCGAUGAAAUUCAUUGUGUGUAUCUUCUUGUUCUUGGUGAUAUUGGAGGGAUUCCAAUGUACACCAUUCCUGCCGUUGUUCAGACCUCCCCGGCGACGCAUUUUCACGGAGAAUCAACUCAUUAACAAUGGUGAUCACAAUGUCAUAUACAUGCGGUCCACAUUGUUUCAUCCGGCUCGAAAUCAGUUGAUUAACAAUGGGAAUCAUAAUACUAUCUUUUUAAGAACAACCCCUUUUACUCGUUCCCAUAAUGUACUCGUUAACAAAGGUGACCAUAACACUAUUUAUGUACGCAACUGUUUGUUCUGCCCAUACAGACGAUUAUAAUUUUAAUCAAAUAUUUAAAACGACAGCCGUAUAAAUAGUAACAGAAAUCAUACUGUAGCAUUGUCUUCCUAUAGCAAAUAUUUGUUGUAAAGAAAAUAAAAUGUACUCGUAUAAAA